AGCGUACACGGUGGAUGCCCUGGCAGUCAGAGGCGAUGAAGGACGUGCUAAUCUGCGAUAAGCGUCGGUAAGGUGAUAUGAACCGUUAUAACCGGCGAUUUCCGAAUGGGGAAACCCAGUGUGUUUCGACACACUAUCAUUAACUGAAUCCAUAGGUUAAUGAGGCGAACCGGGGGAACUGAAACAUCUAAGUACCCCGAGGAAAAGAAAUCAACCGAGAUUCCCCCAGUAGCGGCGAGCGAACGGGGAGCAGCCCAGAGCCUGAAUCAGUGUGUGUGUUAGUGGAAGCGUCUGGAAAGGCGCGCGAUACAGGGUGACAGCCCCGUACACAAAAAUGCACAUGCUGUGAGCUCGAUGAGUAGGGCGGGACACGUGGUAUCCUGUCUGAAUAUGGGGGGACCAUCCUCCAAGGCUAAAUACUCCUGACUGACCGAUAGUGAACCAGUACCGUGAGGGAAAGGCGAAAAGAACCCCGGCGAGGGGAGUGAAAAAGAACCUGAAACCGUGUACGUACAAGCAGUGGGAGCACGCUUAGGCGUGUGACUGCGUACCUUUUGUAUAAUGGGUCAGCGACUUAUAUUCUGUAGCAAGGUUAACCGAAUAGGGGAGCCGAAGGGAAACCGAGUCUUAACUGGGCGUUAAGUUGCAGGGUAUAGACCCGAAACCCGGUGAUCUAGCCAUGGGCAGGUUGAAGGUUGGGUAACACUAACUGGAGGACCGAACCGACUAAUGUUGAAAAAUUAGCGGAUGACUUGUGGCUGGGGGUGAAAGGCCAAUCAAACCGGGAGAUAGCUGGUUCUCCCCGAAAGCUAUUUAGGUAGCGCCUCGUGAAUUCAUCUCCGGGGGUAGAGCACUGUUUCGGCAAGGGGGUCAUCCCGACUUACCAACCCGAUGCAAACUGCGAAUACCGGAGAAUGUUAUCACGGGAGACACACGGCGGGUGCUAACGUCCGUCGUGAAGAGGGAAACAACCCAGACCGCCAGCUAAGGUCCCAAAGUCAUGGUUAAGUGGGAAACGAUGUGGGAAGGCCCAGACAGCCAGGAUGUUGGCUUAGAAGCAGCCAUCAUUUAAAGAAAGCGUAAUAGCUCACUGGUCGAGUCGGCCUGCGCGGAAGAUGUAACGGGGCUAAACCAUGCACCGAAGCUGCGGCAGCGACGCUUAUGCGUUGUUGGGUAGGGGAGCGUUCUGUAAGCCUGCGAAGGUGUGCUGUGAGGCAUGCUGGAGGUAUCAGAAGUGCGAAUGCUGACAUAAGUAACGAUAAAGCGGGUGAAAAGCCCGCUCGCCGGAAGACCAAGGGUUCCUGUCCAACGUUAAUCGGGGCAGGGUGAGUCGACCCCUAAGGCGAGGCCGAAAGGCGUAGUCGAUGGGAAACAGGUUAAUAUUCCUGUACUUGGUGUUACUGCGAAGGGGGGACGGAGAAGGCUAUGUUGGCCGGGCGACGGUUGUCCCGGUUUAAGCGUGUAGGCUGGUUUUCCAGGCAAAUCCGGAAAAUCAAGGCUGAGGCGUGAUGACGAGGCACUACGGUGCUGAAGCAACAAAUGCCCUGCUUCCAGGAAAAGCCUCUAAGCAUCAGGUAACAUCAAAUCGUACCCCAAACCGACACAGGUGGUCAGGUAGAGAAUACCAAGGCGCUUGAGAGAACUCGGGUGAAGGAACUAGGCAAAAUGGUGCCGUAACUUCGGGAGAAGGCACGCUGAUAUGUAGGUGAAGCGACUUGCUCGUGGAGCUGAAAUCAGUCGAAGAUACCAGCUGGCUGCAACUGUUUAUUAAAAACACAGCACUGUGCAAACACGAAAGUGGACGUAUACGGUGUGACGCCUGCCCGGUGCCGGAAGGUUAAUUGAUGGGGUUAGCGCAAGCGAAGCUCUUGAUCGAAGCCCCGGUAAACGGCGGCCGUAACUAUAACGGUCCUAAGGUAGCGAAAUUCCUUGUCGGGUAAGUUCCGACCUGCACGAAUGGCGUAAUGAUGGCCAGGCUGUCUCCACCCGAGACUCAGUGAAAUUGAACUCGCUGUGAAGAUGCAGUGUACCCGCGGCAAGACGGAAAGACCCCGUGAACCUUUACUAUAGCUUGACACUGAACAUUGAGCCUUGAUGUGUAGGAUAGGUGGGAGGCUUUGAAGUGUGGACGCCAGUCUGCAUGGAGCCGACCUUGAAAUACCACCCUUUAAUGUUUGAUGUUCUAACGUUGACCCGUGAUCCGGGUUGCGGACAGUGUCUGGUGGGUAGUUUGACUGGGGCGGUCUCCUCCUAAAGAGUAACGGAGGAGCACGAAGGUUGGCUAAUCCUGGUCGGACAUCAGGAGGUUAGUGCAAUGGCAUAAGCCAGCUUGACUGCGAGCGUGACGGCGCGAGCAGGUGCGAAAGCAGGUCAUAGUGAUCCGGUGGUUCUGAAUGGAAGGGCCAUCGCUCAACGGAUAAAAGGUACUCCGGGGAUAACAGGCUGAUACCGCCCAAGAGUUCAUAUCGACGGCGGUGUUUGGCACCUCGAUGUCGGCUCAUCACAUCCUGGGGCUGAAGUAGGUCCCAAGGGUAUGGCUGUUCGCCAUUUAAAGUGGUACGCGAGCUGGGUUUAGAACGUCGUGAGACAGUUCGGUCCCUAUCUGCCGUGGGCGCUGGAGAAUUGAGGGGGGCUGCUCCUAGUACGAGAGGACCGGAGUGGACGCAUCACUGGUGUUCGGGUUGUCAUGCCAAUGGCACUGCCCGGUAGCUAAAUGCGGAAGAGAUAAGUGCUGAAAGCAUCUAAGCACGAAACUUGCCCCGAGAUGAGUUCUCCCUGACUCCUUGA
rnacentral:rRNA from 1 species